rnacentral:rRNA from 1 species
UACAGAGGGUGCGAGCGUUGUCCGGAAUCACUGGGCGUAAAGGGCGCGUAGGUGGCGCGACAAGUCAGUGGUGAAAGCUCGACGCUCAACGUCGAGUCGGCCACUGAUACUGUUGGGCUUGAGCACUGUAGAGGCUAAUGGAAUUCCGGGUGUAGCGGUGGAACGCGUAGAGAUCCGGAAGAACACCGGUGGCGAAGGCGAUUAGCUGGGCAGUUGCUGACACUGAGGCGCGACAGCGUGGGGAGCAAACAGG